AUAAAGUGUCUGUGAUCAAUCCCAACGACUAAAAUGGAUCCAAUACUUCAACUAGAGCUUUCUUAUUAUUUAUUUCUCUUUUAUUUUAUUAUUCGCUUAUUUUAAUUGCUUUUAGUAGUUUGUUAAUCAAAUCAAUCUCAAACCCCCCCAUUUUACUUUUACUGCAAUUUAUUUUUAUUCCGUUUUCAGUUUAUCUCAUUUUUUGUUUAUCUCAUUGUUUCAGUUUAUUUUAUUGGUCUUGUUGAGAAAAAUAAAUAGGUAAUCAAUUCUCUAUGGAUUCGAUCCUUCACCACUAUCUGUAGUUGUAAAUUGUUGAUAACUAAGAAGGUUAUUUUUGACCGGCUUCGACAAUCGCGAGUCAGAGGUAUACCAUGAGACUGCACUCUAGGUAUUCCUCCCUGAUCUUAGUAGCAGAGAGGGAGAGUUUCCACACUAUUGUGGGUGCAGCUAGGAAAAUGGAAGCUAGUGCCAUCAUGCAGGGGACAGUAAAGCAACAGGUGGCACAGUCCUCAGAUUCCAAAACCCCGAGUACAGGGAAAAUUGAUCUCUCUUCUCUGAGUGCAGCCGCUACAGGAAGUAAAAGUGGAACAAAUCCAAGUCCAAGAAGAACAAGUUUUGGAACCGGUUGAAGUCUGGUCUGGGAAUGGGUGGUGGUUCAAGCUCUGGUUCGGAUAGCUCCGGAUGUAUGAGGUGCGGUAAGCCGCACAAAGGGGUUUGUCGAUUUGGGACUACAGCCAGUUUCAAAUGAGGACAAGAGGGGCACAUGGCAUAUGAGUGUCCCAAUGUAGCUAUAAUGACACAGUCCCAACAGACAGCUUCUGGCAGUGUGGCUCAGCCAGCAGCUUUAGCCACAUCUCAGGGCAGAGGGCGAGGUAGAGGGAGAGGGACAGCCUCUUCUUCAAUAGGUUCCCAAGGGGAAGGUCCUUCAGCUCAAGCACGAAUCUUCACCAUGACAUAGCAGGAGGCUAACACAUCGAACAUGGUGGUGUCAGGAAAGCUUUAUACAUAUCUUUAAGAUCAAACGUAGGGUCAGAAGUAUCACCAGUAUUAUGCCUAGACAUUAUAGAAAAAUUCACAAUUCUCUCAACUCAUGUGUUUAACUUUGAAGCACUCACUUAGUAUCUCAAAAGUGCACUUCAGAAUAAAGACUCAAUAAGCCAAGCUUGUAUGAUUCAAAUAAUAAGAAAAGCAAGGAAAG
rnacentral:lncRNA from 1 species